rnacentral:rRNA from 1 species
AGCGAACGCUGGCGGCAUGCUUAACACAUGCAAGUCGAACGGACUACUUUGCUUCGGUAAGGUGGUUAGUGGCGAACGGGUGAGUAACGCGUAGACAACCUACCUCUUAGAUGGGGACAACAUCGCGAAAGCGGUGCUAAUACCGAAUGAAGUGACUUUCCUGCAUGGGAGAGAUACUAAAGGUGGCCUCUAUUUAUAAGCUACCACUGAGAGAUGGGUCUGCGUCUGAUUAGCUAGUUGGCGGGGUAACGGCCCACCAAGGCGACGAUCAGUAGCCGGUCUGAGAGGAUGAACGGCCACAUUGGGACUGAGACACGGCCCAAACUCCUACGGGAGGAAGCAGUGGGGAAUCUUCCGCAAUGGACGAAAGUCUGACGGAGCAACGCCGCGUGAGUGAAGAAGGUUUUCGGAUCGUAAAGCUCUGUUGUUUGAGACGAAUGUGCCUGUUUCGAAUAGGGAUAGGUAAUGACGGUAUUAAACGAGAAAGCCACGGCUAACUACGUGCCAGCCGCCGCCGCGG